AUGCUGUCCAUCGCCCUCAUUAUAUUGCUCGUGAACCCCCAUUUAUACAGGCCAGCCAUACGAAGUUACGCACUCGCUGUUUGCACGGCGGCGGGCAUGUUUGGUCUGAUAGGGGCUUAUGCUGCCGGAAGCACACAGCAUCUGAAAACAUCCAUCUACAUCUUUGUCUUGGGGGCUGUGGUCCUCUUUGUCAUAGCUGUACUGUUCCUAGUGUUCUUGGAUAAGAAAGAUAUGGUCAGUGAACUGAAGCAAGAAAAUGCUGACAAAAAAGGAAAGGCAAAGCAUGCCAAGCGCAAAUAUCUGAUGCUGCUAGGAAUCCUUGUGGCAAGUGUCACCUACCAGGCUGGUCUAGAUCCGCCUGGGGGAGCUUGGCAGAACGACAGCAGUUGGUAUGAUGCAGGAAACCCGAUCAUGCAUGACAACAGGAGGCCCCGGUACCUUGCCUUCUUCUACAGCAACUCCACCUCCUUUGUGGCGUCCAUUGUUGUCAUCGUCAUGUUGCUGCCGCAGUGGUUGAAUAAGAAUAAAGAAUGGUCGCUCAAGGUCAUGAACACAACGAUUGUGCUGGAUUUGCUCGCCCUACUAGUGGCAUACGCAGCAGGAUCCAGCAGGGGGUGGAAGACAUCUGUGUAUGUCGCCGCCCUGAUCAUCGCCGUCCUGGCCUACGUUGCAAUCCAUAUAAUGCUGGCAUUGUUAUGUUGUCAUUCUCAUAGUGCUGGCAUUCCUCAGCAAAGGAGUCCAUGCGCCCAAGCAAAUUCUCAAUCACAGGAGCACGCGAGGAAUCAGGCACAGUUUGCUGCAAUGUCAACGCCUUGA
rnacentral:rRNA from 1 species